AUCGAUGGCAUAUGCAUAAAUUGAAAUAGCUGUCGUAUCAAAGUCACUUUUACGUUUAUUUCAUAAUCAACAAUUGGCCGCUGCAGACAAAGCUUGGGCUCG